GCCGGGCUUGGUGGUACACACCUGUAAUCCCAGUGACAUGGGAGGCUGAGGCAGGAGGAUUGUGAGUUCAAAGCCAACCUCAGCAACGGCUAGGUGCAAAGCAACCUGUCUCUAAAUAUUUAGAGACCCUGUCUCUA
rnacentral:sRNA from 1 species